CGCUGGCGGCGUGCCUAAUACAUGCAAGUCGAGCGAACAGACGAGGAGCUUGCUCCUCUGACGUUAGCGGCGGACGGGUGAGUAACACGUGGAUAACCUACCUAUAAGACUGGGAUAACUUCGGGAAACCGGAGCUAAUACCGGAUAAUAUAUUGAACCGCAUGGUUCAAUAGUGAAAGACGGUUUUGCUGUCACUUAUAGAUGGAUCCGCGCCGCAUUAGCUAGUUGGUAAGGUAACGGCUUACCAAGGCAACGAUGCGUAGCCGACCUGAGAGGGUGAUCGGCCACACUGGAACUGAGACACGGUCCAGACUCCUACGGGAGGCAGCAGUAGGGAAUCUUCCGCAAUGGGCGAAAGCCUGACGGAGCAACGCCGCGUGAGUGAUGAAGGUCUUCGGAUCGUAAAACUCUGUUAUUAGGGAAGAACAAAUGUGUAAGUAACUAUGCACGUCUUGACGGUACCUAAUCAGAAAGCCACGGCUAACUACGUGCCAGCAGCCGCGGUAAUACGUAGGUGGCAAGCGUUAUCCGGAAUUAUUGGGCGUAAAGCGCGCGUAGGCGGUUUUUUAAGUCUGAUGUGAAAGCCCACGGCUCAACCGUGGAGGGUCAUUGGAAACUGGAAAACUUGAGUGCAGAAGAGGAAAGUGGAAUUCCAUGUGUAGCGGUGAAAUGCGCAGAGAUAUGGAGGAACACCAGUGGCGAAGGCGACUUUCUGGUCUGUAACUGACGCUGAUGUGCGAAAGCGUGGGGAUCAAACAGGAUUAGAUACCCUGGUAGUCCACGCCGUAAACGAUGAGUGCUAAGUGUUAGGGGGUUUCCGCCCCUUAGUGCUGCAGCUAACGCAUUAAG
rnacentral:rRNA from 1 species